AAAGCUGUUCAGGUGUUAGAAGACUGACUUUGUAACAGUCUUUAUAUGUCUCUGAAUAUUUAAGUCUGAUUGCUACUCCUUGAUUUGGGCCUGACUGAUCACUAGUUUUAGUUGUAGCUAGUGACUCUGAUCACUGAGAACAUCAAUUAGUAAAUGUAGUGGGGUUCCCAGAACCUCGGUUCAUUUCAAUCUGGAAAUACUCGGACGGACAAAAGAAAGAACGGUUAAAAGGUUUUAUGACGGGAAUGAAUAAUAGUUCUUUGGUGCUUGGGCCCCAGCAGAUGAUUUGAGCUGUGAUUGUAGAAGAAUAUAAUUAUACUAAAAGGCAUGUUGUUGGUUGAUUCACAUUAAGAUAUGUUUUGACUGAAAAGAAAUGUACUGGGUCAAUCUGACCUAGAAGUCAGAAAGGAACUCAGAAUGGAGAGAUGUGGAAUAAGCAAUCACCAAAGAGAGAAAGGUUAAGUUGUUGUGCAAGAAAAUUCUGGCAAACGUCCUUUCCUGCUUGCGUGCGAAGAAGUCGGCCAGGACUGGGAAAGAAUCUUUGUUUGGACAGAUAAAGAACUAACAAUUGACUAAUAGUUCUUCUGAUGGAGCAGAUUUAACUUCCAGGAGGUCGACCCCUAAUUCUCGGAACUUCCAACACACAUCCAGUGUAAGACGGAGCCAGAAGUGCUACGCAAGCGAGGUCCAGUAAUGCCAUUGGUCAAAGAUUCCCAAUACACAACAGUAGAGCUGGAACUGUAUAAAAACUUGAUGUCAGAAGUAAGAGACAAGACAUUUUGGAUUCUGAGACGAUGAAAAUGAGACGAUGAAAAUGUAAUGUGUGAAUCCGCAGAUGUGCAUUAAAUGUCUUCCUGUUUGUCUAUGAGCCGGAGAGAAUGGAGUUUGUGUAUCGUUUCUUUAUUUAUAUAUUUCAUGAAUUUAGCACCUUUUAAUUCCUCCAUAUGAUUUGCUGUGAACUCGGGUGAAGAUCCCGGAAGCUGAUUAGGGAUGCUCUCCCCCAGGGGCCCGACACUGGUGGAGGAGGUCGGGAACGGGUGACGUCCUGAAGAGCCGAAGGAUGCGGGUGGAGAAGGGGAGGUGGUGGGUUGAACACAGCUGGAAAGCGGCUGACGGCUUGGGUGUGGAUCCUUAUAUGCAGAGCUUGAUUGAUAAUUGGACGUGCCGAAUGAGGUCCAGCGCUUAAGUAGGAGGUGAGCAUGACGCAGCGAUGGGCGGAACAGAAAGGUUCUUGAACUUGUUUAAGCGCAAGUUCAAGUUUAAGUUUAAGCGCUUGAACUUCAUUUCAUCAAGUUAAAUAAAAGGCGGUAUGCUCCAGAGCCUUACGAUGGAAACUCAGCCUCUAGCUCUUACACACCCAUUGGAGAGUGUUGUAAACCUCAUUUAACUGGAACCAUGUAAACAUCUGUCUUAUCAGCCUGAGGAUAGAAAGGGCCAUGCUUCUCCUGCUUGGCUUUCCUGCCUAGAACUUAAUUUUGUUCCCCUGUUCUGUCAGAAGGGAAGAGAUUUGGUGUCAAAGAUGAAGAGAAUGUGAAAGAGCAGAAGAGAAACAGUCAACGGCUGCAGCCUCACUCGUGUGAAUACCGAUUUGGCUGCCGCUUACCUCUGGGACACUCGCAGCAAGCCAAUUACCAAGCCUUAGUCACAGCGAGGGAAAGACAGAACCACUGAUUGACUGAAGCCAAUGAUACAUUCCAACCCGGCUCAACUUUCAGCUGCAUUUCCUCACCAUCUAACAGCAGCCAGCCUUUUUUAGUGCUGCUCACCCUCUGCUCCUUGAUUCAAUGGAAGACUACAGGCUGAGUGCAAAAGGGAGAGAAGAAAGGGGAUAAAAGCGGUUGCUAAAUAAUCCCAUUUAACUCUGAAAUGUGCGCUGCUGCUUUUAUUCUUGACUCACAUCGAGUAGGCAUGUGCCAGCCAAGUGUGGGCUGAAUUGGUAAGCAGAGUAAGCAGAGAAGGAGACAGACAUGUUUUGAAAUGAGGCUUGAAAGGCAGCCCAGUUUGCAGCUUAGGGAAUUGGUAAAUGUCUUCUGGGAAGGAUGGAAAAGGAAAGGGAGAGAUAGAGGGAUAAAUGGAGGGGGAAAGAGUGGAGAGAAAGUCAAGUAGAGAGAGAGAGAGAGAGAGCAGAAGCUGGCAACAUUAUGACAAAUACGGUGGAAUGACAGAUAAGGGAUUGGAGGCAGGUGUAUCUGACUGUAAAGAAGAAGAAAUGAAGAUGGAGAAAGAGGAGAAACGGACACUUUUCCUUAAAUGUGGAAGGGUGGAUGUGUGAAAUCCAGCCUGAGGGAGAUUUUCCGUCCACCACCUCAGCGGUUUUUCGUGAGCAAAGGUAAAGUCCAGACUGGAGCUACGUUUUUAUCCUCCUGCCAUGUUUCACCAACACUCUGGGAACGGAGCGGUUUGAUCAGAGCUUUGGAAAACCUUUACAGGCGUCGUGAUUGGGAUGUUCUGUUUGGUGUUCCCAUGUUGGUAUAAAUGGUGUCUGUGUUUGGUUUGCAGGCGAGGCGGACCUUGAUGUCGUCUCUGAAGCCUGUCUGCCCUACCUGAGCUGCAGACAGCCAAUCAGGCUGCAGGAGGCCUGUCUGAGUGUUUUCCGUCACUUAAUCCAGCUGGAUCCGGACAGCUUCUGGUUUACGCUGAACCAGAUCCACUGCCCUUCGUCCUUCAUGUCGCCCCCCCACCCUGACCUCCGACCCCUGCAGCUGGGCCUGACGGGCCGGCCCAGAGACGAGUACUCAGACAACGUGCUGAAACUGCUGAGGGAGGAGUUCGCCUCCGACUCAGACCACAAACAUUCAACGAACUGGGGAAAAAAAGAACCUGAUAUGUUUUUAUAUGCGAGUUAAAUAAAAACACCAUAGCUUCUACGCUAACGUCCAAACCAGGAACAAAGCUGGCCGCUCUUUCCACUCCCUCAGAGGUCUGAUCUUUCAUCUGUCUGACAGACGGAAAUAAAAUGUUUGUUUUCACAUCAUUUCUUUAUUGCUGAAAGAACUGACUGAAUCGUCCUGCUUGUUUUGAAUAAAUUAACAAUUCAACCACAUACAAUUGAA